AACAGUGCUCAAAGAAGGGGUGAGGUUGCCCAUGGGCAGAGGUAGAGAAUGCUUCUGAUGGCAGAGAGAUGCGACAGGUUCUGCUACCAGUGAAACUGGAACAAACGUUUUUACCACGUGUUUCUGAAAUCCCCAGAAUUGUGACUGCUCCUGCUUGGACCUUGUAGAAGACCGUUCUGGUCAGGGGAGAUUCAGCUUGGCCUAUAGGCUACAGCGGAAUUCAGGGAUAAAACAUUCCCCUGACAGUCUUACUGAAGGACCUGAUCCACACGUGUGUGCUAUGCAGGUCUUUAACUUUGAUUUAAUAAAAGCUACAUCUAAUGACUCAUAAAGGUAAUGCUGAAUCAGCAGAAGUCCUGAAGAAUCUUGAAUAAUUUUGGUUUUGAUUUGUGUCUUUCAAGAAGGCAUCUAAUGGCAGCCUACCUAUGUAACAAAUUCCCCCUUCUCACAUGUUCACCACAGAUUCCUCCCCAGACCCAGGCACCCCAGCUUACAGGGGUGGUUGUCCACUUUGAAGGUGGUGUAGCUAUUGCUCAUCCUCCUGGCUUUUACUGCUACCAUCAUUGUGUCUGCAGAAUGGACUUGGACUGCUCUGCUAACAUACCUCAGGCUUUGUUCCUGUGGGCACCCUGGAGAGAUCCAUAUUUGUCCAUUAAGAGAAAGAAGGGAUCAGUCAGUCACAGAAACAUGCAAUAUCCUUGUGUGAGCUCCCCAUGUCCUACUACCUGCA